UUCGUGGACCAUUUAAGGUCCUUUGUGGUCCAUCUAUGGGGCUGAGGACCUCCACGGACCAUCUGAGGUCCUUUGUGGUCCAUCUGAGGUCCUUCGUGGCCCAUCUAUGGGGUUGAGGACCUCCAUCUGUGGGGUUGGGGACCUCCAUGGACCAUCUGAGGUCCUUUGUGGCCCAUCUGAGGUCCUUUGUGGCCCAUCUGAGGUCCUUUGUGGCCCAUCUGAGGUCCUUCGUGGUCCAUCUGAGGUCCUUCGUGGUCCAUCUGAGG